UACGGAGGGGGCUAGCGUUGUUCGGAAUUACUGGGCGUAAAGCGCACGUAGGCGGCUACUCAAGUCAGAGGUGAAAGCCCGGGGCUCAACCCCGGAACUGCCUUUGAAACUAGGUAGCUAGAAUCUUGGAGAGGUCAGUGGAAUUCCGAGUGUAGAGGUGAAAUUCGUAGAUAUUCGGAAGAACACCAGUGGCGAAGGCGACUGACUGGACAAGCAUUGACGCUGAGGUGCGAAAGCGUGGGGAGCAAACAGG
rnacentral:rRNA from 1 species